UGGUGGCAUGGCCGUCGUCAGUUCGUACUGUGAAGCAUCCUGUUAAGUCAGGCACGAGCGAGACCCACGUCCACAGUUGCCAGCAUACCCUCCCGGGGUGGAUGGGUACACUGUGGAGACCGCCGCUGCUAAAGCGGAGGAAGGAGUGGGCAACGGUAGGUCAGUAUGCCCCGAAUCUCCCGGGCUACACGCGGGCUACAAUGGUUGGUACAAUGGGCAUCUACCCCGAAAGGGGAAGGAAAUCUCUUAAAGCCAAUCGUAGUUCGGAUUGAGGGCUGCAACUCGCCCUCAUGAAGCUGGAAUCCGUAGUAAUCGCGUUUCAACAGAACGCGGUGAAUACGUCCCUGCUCCUU
rnacentral:rRNA from 1 species